AACGAACGCUGGCGGCAUGCCUAACACAUGCAAGUCGAACGAGACCUUCGGGUCUAGUGGCGCACGGGUGCGUAACGCGUGGGAACCUGCCCUUAGGUUCGGAAUAACUCCCCGAGAGGGGUGCUAAUACCGGAUAAUGUCUUCGGACCAAAGAUUUAUCGCCUUUGGAUGGGCCCGCGUUGGAUUAGCUAGUUGGUAGGGUAAAAGCCUACCAAGGCGACGAUCCAUAGCUGGUCUGAGAGGAUGAUCAGCCACACUGGGACUGAGACACGGCCCAGACCCCUACGGGAGGGAGCAGGGGGGAAUAUUGGACAAUGGGCGAAAGCCUGAUCCAGCAAUGCCGGGUGAGUGAUGAAGGCCUUAGGGUUGUAAAGCUUUUUUCCCCGGGAUGAUAAUGACAGUACCGGGGAAAUAAGCCCCGGCUAACUCCGU
rnacentral:rRNA from 1 species